UGCCAGCCGCCGCGGUAAUACAGAGGGCUCAAGCGUUAAUCGGAAUUAUUGGGCGUAAAGCGCGUGUAGGCGGUUCGUUAAGUCUGAUGUGAAAGCCCGGGGCUCAACCCCGGAAGUGCAUUGGAAACUGGCGAACUUGAGUACGGGAGAGGAAAGUGGAAUUCCGAGUGUAGGGGUGAAAUUCGUAGAUAUUGGGAAGAACACCAGUGGCGAAGGCGGCUAACUGGCUCGGUACUGACGCUGAGAUGCGAAAGCGUGGGGAGCAAACAGGAUUAGAUA
rnacentral:rRNA from 1 species